rnacentral:rRNA from 1 species
UACGUAGGGCGCAAGCGUUAUCCGGAAUUAUUGGGCGUAAAGAGCUCGUAGGCGGUUUGUCGCGUCUGCCGUGAAAGUCCGGGGCUCAACUCCGGAUCUGCGGUGGGUACGGGCAGACUAGAGUGAUGUAGGGGAGACUGGAAUUCCUGGUGUAGCGGUGAAAUGCGCAGAUAUCAGGAGGAACACCGGUGGCGAAGGCGGGUCUCUGGGCAUUAACUGACGCUGAGGAGCGAAAGCAUGGGGAGCGAACAGG